CGUGGAUAAUCUACCUCUUAGUGGGGAAGUAACUCUGGGAAACCGGAGGCUAAUACCGCAUAAGCCUGGAAAGGGAAAGUCGCAAGACGCUGAGAGAGGAGUCCGCGGCCGAUUAGCUAGUUGGCAGGGUAAAAGCCUACCAAGGCAUUGAUCGGUAGCCGGCCUGAGAGGGCACACGGCCACACUGGCACUGAAACACGGGCCAG
rnacentral:rRNA from 1 species